AUGGACCAGAGUCUGGUAGGACCGGACUAGUGUUACCAGAGUCUGGUAGGACCCAGGUAGUGUAUGUACCAGAGUCUGGUAGGACCAGGGUAGUGGACCAGAG